CCUACGGGAGGCAGCAGUGGGGAAUAUUGGACAAUGGGCGAAAGCCUGAUCCAGCCAUGCCGCGUGUGUGAAGAAGGCCUUCGGGUUGUAAAGCACUUUCAGUGGGGAAGAAAGCCUUGGGGCUAAUACCCUCGAGGAAGGACAUCACCCACAGAAGAAGCACCGGCUAACUCCGUGCCAGCAGCCGCGGUAAUACGGAGGGUGCGAGCGUUAAUCGGAAUUACUGGGCGUAAAGCGCGCGUAGGCGGUCUGAUAAGCCGGUUGUGAAAGCCCCGGGCUCAACCUGGAACGGCAUCCGGAACUGUCAGGCUAGAGUGCAGGAGAGGAAGGUAGAAUUCCCGGUGUAGCGGUGAAAUGCGUAGAGAUCGGGAGGAAUACCAGUGGCGAAGGCGGCCUUCUGGACUGACACUGACGCUGAGGUGCGAAAGCGUGGGUAGCAAACAGGAUUAGAUACCCCAGUAGUC
rnacentral:rRNA from 1 species